AGUGAACGCUGGCGGUAGGCCUAACACAUGCAAGUCGAACGGAAGCACAGGAGAGCUUGCUCUCUGGGUGGCGAGUGGCGGACGGGUGAGGAAUACAUCGGAAUCUACUCUGUCGUGGGGGAUAACGUAGGGAAACUUACGCUAAUACCGCAUACGACCUACGGGUGAAAGCAGGGGACCUUCGGGCCUUGCGCGAUUGAAUGAGCCGAUGUCGGAUUAGCUAGUUGGCGGGGUAAAGGCCCACCAAGGCGACGAUCCGUAGCUGGUCUGAGAGGAUGAUCAGCCACACUGGAACUGAGACACGGUCCAGACUCCUACGGGAGGCAGCAGUGGGGAAUAUUGGACAAUGGGCGCAAGCCUGAUCCAGCCAUACCGCGUGGGUGAAGAAGGCCUUCGGGUUGUAAAGCCCUUUUGUUGGGAAAGAAAUCCAGCUGGCUAAUACCCGGUUGGGAUGACGGUACCCAAAGAAUAAGCACCGGCUAACUUCGUGCCAGCAGCCGCCGAAA
rnacentral:rRNA from 1 species